rnacentral:lncRNA from 8 species
GUACAGUACCAGUCAAAAGUUUAGACACACCUACUCAUUCAAGGGUUUUAAUAUAUUUUUACUAUUUCCUACAUUGGAAAAUAAUAGUGAAGACAUCAAAACUAUAAAAUAACACAUGUGGAAUCAGGUAGUACCAAAAAAAAGUGUUAAACAAAUCAAAUUAUAUUUUGUAUUUGAAAUUCUUCAAAGUAGCCACCCAUUGUCUUGAUGACAGCUUUGCACAGUCUUGCCAUUCACUCAACGAAUUAUCUUUGAAAGACAGGGUCCUGAAAAAGGGACGUUUCUUUUUUUUCCCAGACAGUUACGCUGUGACAGAGUCCAGCAGAAAGAUGCCCUGGCCUGAUCGGGAGACCCAGGCUCUGCUGGAGGUCUGGGGUGAGGACUAUGUGUAGCUCUUCCUCUGCGGCUGUUUGAAGAACAGACACGUGUUUGAGUACAUCUCACGGAGGAUGACGACCCAGGGGUUCAUAAGGACGGCUGACAGUGCCACACCCCCAUCAAACGACUCAAGCCAAGCUUCCACCAUGACAAAAGGGAAUGUAAGUUCUACGACCAGAUGGAGGAGAUUUUCUCGAGGGAGCUCAACGUCGACAGUUUGGCCGAAGAUUCGUUAGACAAUGAGGAAGCUGCUGUCUGGGAGUCUACACAUGAAGUUGACCAAAGGAAAGCUAGCCCUAUUUUAACUGACGGCUCCAAGUUCAACUGGAGCGACAGUAACCCAGGUCAUCCUCAGUAUCUGGGGGAGUGACGAGGUACAGGAGGGUCUGAAGGGCUGAACCAAAAACAGACACAUUUUCACCGAGAUCUCUCAGGCAAUGGCCAACGAGGGCUACCUGAGGACAGCCGAACAGUGCCAGUCUAGAGUGAGCUGCUAAAGGCAACUUCCGCCAGCUCUGUGAGAGCAAACAGAUUGGAGGGGAAAAGGUGGAGUGCAAAUUCUACGAUCAGUUUGUGCAAAUAUUCGGGAACAAGUAUAUAUCCUGUGACUCUCUGGCUGAGGAACCAAAUGACGCCACAGACGUGGGAGAGGUCCCAGGUGGCCAAGUCCAAGAAACAGGCUCUCCAGAAUCAGGCAGCUGUCCAUCACCAUGGGAACUAGAUCUCCCCUGGAGCAUUGAGGAGACUGAAGCCCUCCUCGACAUAUUGGUCAGUGACAGAAUCCAAGUGGACCUGAGGGGAAACACUGAACUGGAACACAUUCAUACAGAGAUCUCUCAAAUGAUGGCUGACCAGGGCUUCAUGAAAACAGCAGAGCAGUGCCAGACAAGGUCAACGCAACUGAACCUGAGUAUUAUUUCAUUCUUACGACGAGGAAGCAUUUGUUUUACAUUUUUUAUUCAACCUUUAUGUAACUAGGCAAGUCAGUUAAGAACAAAUUCUUAUUGAGGACCAGGACGAGGCUGGGCCAAUUGUGUGCCACCUUAUGGGACUCCCAGUCACGUCCGGAUGUGAUGCAGCCUGGAUUAGGGAUCAUCUGAAAGACAGUUUUGUAGCGCCACAGGAAAGCUGCAAUGACUCAACAAUGACUUUGGAAAAGAGGUUUAUUAACAAUUACAAAGACCUGUCUCCUGCGUUGUUUUAAGAGAGGUACUGUAUUCUAUCAAAGAGGCACUGUUGCUUUGUUGGAUAUUGCUGAAGGGACUCAACAUCCAUCCUACGUUUUCUGUUGGAAAUCAGACACAUGUAUUUAACCUUUGUAUAGAUGCUUAAAUCUAAGUGAAAUGGACUAUCUGAAUGUUCUUUGUCAUGUAUGUCACAGUAAGUGCACAUGUGUUGUGACAUAAGGUCCUUUUCACUAAACGUAACAAAACCUUUUUAAAGGGAUUGGCUUGAGUGAAUCCUCUAACGAGAAUUGUUCAAAACCUCAUGACGUUAUGAACAUCUUGCAUUAUGAUUUACCAAACAAAAGGCUGGCUAUUAUGUAUAUAUUUGUGUAUUUUAUGUACAUUUGUGUUUUAGCAAACUCACUGUACUUUUAGGGCUAUUUUCAAGUGAACUAAUUUAGAUAAAAUUCCUUUGAGUGGAGUUUGAUUGCCUGACUGUUUGGGUACUGUAUCAUCUCUGUUACUGUGGGAUAUCUUUCUCUCAAUGUGUUUUAACCAAUAUCUUGGUUCACCGAAACACUGAGGUUUGUGUUGUUACCAGCUUUAACCACUGGGGGAGACUGUGAACAAAUCCUAUUUUUAUCCUCAACAUGUCUUGAGGAUAAACCACUAGAAUUCUGGAAGCACAGGCACCUAAUUAUUCCUUAGUCAUACGUUAUUGUUAUAUACCACGGUGAAAUAGCCGUUGCAACAAAUCCUGCUCUCAGCAUUGAUGGUGUUCGUUGUUCAUAGGAAGACUAUUUGCAUAGAGAGGACACUUUGCAUAGACAGCACAUGCUUCAGUGCUCUGGGAGUGUUUAUAUCCCUGUGAGUUUAAUACUUCAUGACUGAGAGCUGUCCUUCAUGACAGCACAACCCACAACACCCAUGACUUGUAUCACCAUCUUCAUAGCAAUUUAGAUUAAGAAUCCAUUAUAUACAGAAAAUACACGAGCUCUGAAGCAAGCUUCCAGAAAAUUGGAACGGAAAUGGCGCCACACCAAACUGGAAGUCUUCCGACUAGCUUGGAAAGACAGUACCGUGCAGUAUCGAAGAGCCCUCACUGCUGCUCGAUCAUCCUAUUUUUCCAACUUAAUUGAGGAAAAUAAGAACAAUCCGAAAUUUCUUUUUGAUAGUGUCGCAAAGCUAA